CUAGAUCUGGUGUGGGGUGACUGUAGAUCUGGUGUAGGUCGGUCAGUGUCCUGACUGUAGAUCUGGUGUAGGUCGGUCAGUGUCCUGACUGUAGAUCUGGUGUGGGGUCGGUCAGUGUCCUGACUAGAUCUGGUGUGGGGUCGGUCAGUGUCCUGACUAGAUCUGGUGUGGGGUCGGUCAGUGUCCUGACUGUAGAUCUGGUGUGGGUCGGUCAGUGUCCUGACUGUAGAUCUGGUGUGGGGUCGGUCAGUGUCCUGACUAGAUCUGGUGUGGGGUCGGUCAGUGUCCUGACUAGAUCUGGUGUGGGGUCGGUCAGUGUCCUGACUGUAGAUCUGGUGUGGGACGGUCAGUGUCCGGACUGUAGAUCUGGUGUGGGGUCGGUCAGUGUCCUGACCCGUGGUUCUGGUGUGGUUCUGGUUAGACCUGAAAUGGAGCCAGUGUCUCCCCAGAUUCUCUCCUUGUCGGAUGCAUCCAUCUUCUAGCACUGAAACGACUUCUGGUUGUGUGAGUUAGUUUGUACCUGCUUGGAAGAGCUCAGCGGUUUCACCCCCCCCCAAAAAUGCUGUCUUACGAAAAGGUAGAGAAAUCGGCGUGCUUCCUCCUCCUCCUCGCCACUGUCCUCCCAGUGUGUGUGUGUGUGUGUGUGUGUGUGUGUGUGUGUGUGUGUGUGACGUCAGUGGGACUGAACCAUAAAGCUGAUCCCUGUAUCUAUGCAUAUUGUAGCCAAUCACAAGGACUACAGACACGGGGAGGAGGGGCUUAAUUCUGUCUGUGUCACAACGUCAAAAUGUUUUAAAAUUAAUAAUGUGAUGAUGAUCUCUCUUUAUAUAUAUAUAUGACCUUGUUUCAAUCUCUCUCAUUGCCACAGAUGGUGGUCAAGAGAGAGGAAAAAAAUCUGUAAACAAAAAACAACAACAACAAUAAUAAUAAUCGUGUUUUUUUUGUGUUUCGGCUUCUUCUUCGUACCUCCCUAGAUGGCGCUCUGUCUGUGGUCGCUGCAGGGGAGGGGACGAGGGGGGGGUGGAUGUAACCUAUCGGUGGUCAUAAACACAACUCUUCUUCUUCGUACCUCCCUAGAUGGCGCUCUGGGGGUGGAUGUAACCUAUCGGUGGUCGUAAACACAACUCUUCUUCUUCGUACCUCCCUAGAUGGCGCUCUGUCUGUGGUCGCUGCAGGGGAGGGGGCGAGGGGGGGGUUGAUGUAACCUAUCGGUGGUUUAGAUUUACCCCAUUGAUUGUUUUAAGUUGUGAUGACAACGUGUGGGAGCUUCAAAACAGAGAUGUAUGAGGACCUUCAUGUCUUUACUUACAUUUAGUAUCUAUAGAAACCAAAAUAAUCAAACUGUUUCUCUCCAGUAGUUUUAUUGGACUGGUAGAAGUUGCUCGUUGUGUGUUUUUGACUGUAUUGAAUACCUUUGUAAAGGCCUUAGCGUACAACACAGACUCUCCACUCCUCUCCUCAUCUCCUCUCCUCCUCAUCUUCUCUCCACUCCUCCUCUCCUCCUCUCCUCUCUCCUCC
ensembl:lncRNA